GGUGCGUUAGUUCAGUUGGUUAGAAUGCCUGCCUGUCACGCAGGAGGUCACGAGUUCGAG
rnacentral:tRNA from 1 species